CCUACGGGAGGCAGCAGUGGGGGAUAUUGCACAAUGGGGGAAACCCUGAUGCAGCGACGCCGCGUGGGUGAAGAAGCGCCUCGGCGCGUACAGCCCUGUCAGCAGGGAAGAAAAUGACGGAACCUGAAGAAGAAGCCCCGGCUAACUACGUGCCAGCAGCCGCGGUAAUACGUAGGGGGCAAGCGUUAUACGGAUUUACUGGGUGUAAAGGGGGCGCAGACGGCGAUGCAAGCCAGGAGUGAAAGCCCGGGGCCCAACCCCGGGACUGCUCUUGGAACUGCGUGGCGAGAGUGCAGGAGGGGCAGGCGGAAUUCCUGGUGUAGCGGUGAAAUGCGUAGAUAUCAGGAGGAACACCGGUGGCGAAGGCGGCCUGCUGGACUGCAACUGACGUUGAGGCCCGAAAGCGUGGGGAGCAAACAGGAUUAGAUACCCCAGUAGUC
rnacentral:rRNA from 1 species